rnacentral:rRNA from 1 species
CCUACGGGGGGCUGCAGUGGGGAAUUUUGGACAAUGGGCGCAAGCCUGAUCCAGCCAUGCCGCGUGCAGGAUGAAGGCCUUCGGGUUGUAAACUGCUUUUGUACGGAACGAAAAGACUCUGGUUAAUACCUGGGGUCCAUGACGGUACCGUAAGAAUAAGCACCGGCUAACUACGUGCCAGCAGCCGCGGUAAUACGUAGGGUGCGAGCGUUAAUCGGAAUUACUGGGCGUAAAGCGUGCGCCAGAUGUGAAAUCCCCGGGCUCAACCUGGGAACUGCAUUGGUGACUGCAUAGCUAGAGUACGGCAGAGGGGGAUGGAAUUCCGCGUGUAGCAGUGAAAUGCGUAGAUAUGCGGAGGAACACCGAUGGCGAAGGCAAUCCCCUGGGCCUGUACUGACGCUCAUGCACGAAAGCGUGGGGAGCAAACAGGAUUAGAUACCCGGGUAGUC